UACGGGGGGGGCAAGCGUUGUUCGGAAUUACUGGGCGUAAAGGGCUCGUAGGUGGCCAACUAAGUCAGACGUGAAAUCCCUCGGCUUAACCGGGGAACUGCGUCUGAUACUGGAUGGCUAGAGAUUGGGAGAGGGAUGCGGAAUUCCAGGUGUAGCGGUGAAAUGCGUAGAUAUCUGGAGGAACACCGGUGGCGAAGGCGGCAUCCUGGACCAACACUGACGCUGAGGAGCGAAAGCUAGGGGAGCAAACGGG
rnacentral:rRNA from 1 species